rnacentral:lncRNA from 1 species
UUAACUCAAAUUAUAUCAUUAAUUAAUUAAGGUUUUCAGAUAUAGGAUUUAAUCAAUUUUAACUUGUAACUUUAUCUAAAUAGAUCAUAGAUAAGUGAGUGUCAAUAUGCCAGAUAUGAAUAUAUGAUGUUUAUGCAGAUCAGAUCGCAUCAGUUAAGAUGUAACGUUUUUAUUUUUAGCCUCGCCGAAAAGGAGAGAUGGUUUUAUUUGGAAUUGCGUGCAAAGUACACGUGACGAGGAACUACAAUAGGAAACUAUUUUAUUAGCACACGGAUGAUUUAAUUAUAACUAAGAUACAAUGUCUACGACAGUCGCACCGAAAGAAAGAAAAGUAUUUCUUCGUAUAUUCUUGCUCCCACUCAUUUCUCCUAUAGCGUUAGCAUUAGAUGCCUCUACUCAUUUUGGAAAUCAAACAAUUGAGUAAAUUACACCGUUGGUCAUCAACUUACGGAGCGCGUGAUAUUUUAGUUUUCAAACUUUAGUUCAUUAUAAUUUCUAGCUCAACUUUUUAAAUUAUCGUAAUCAAAUCAUAAAACCUAAUUUUUUCUAGAAAAAAAUUCUUCACCACCCUUCCAAAAUAAGUUAAAUAUCAUAUAUAACCUUAUAAAAAUUAAAAUAUCAUAAAUAACCUUAUAAACGACAGAAACUUUCAAAAAGUAACUUUUACUUUAACUGACCGUCAACUUUAAAUAAAUGGCAAAUAAAAUUUUAAUUUUACCCCUAUUGUCGUUAACAUUUU